rnacentral:rRNA from 1 species
GACGAACGCUGGCGGCGUGCUUAACACAUGCAAGUCGAACGGGAAGGCCUCUUUCGGGGGGUACUCGAGUGGCGAACGGGUGAGUAACACGUGAGUAACCUGCCCUUGACUUUGGGGUAACUUCAGGAAACUGGGGCUAAUACCGGAUAGGAGCUCCUGCUGCAUGGUGGGGGUUGGAAAGUUUCGGCGGUUGGGGAUGGACUCGCGGCUUAUCAGCUUGUUGGUGGGGUAGUGGCUUACCAAGGCUUUGACGGGUAGCCGGCCUGAGAGGGUGACCGGCCACAUUGGGACUGAGAUACGGCCCAGACUCCUACGGGAGGCAGCAGUGGGGAAUAUUGCACAAUGGGUGGAAGCCUGAUGCAGCAACGCCGUGUGCGGGAUGACGGCCUUCGGGUUGUAAACCGCUUUCGCUCAUGACGAAGCUUUGCGUGACGGUAGUGGGUAAAGAAGCACCGGCUAACUACGUG